rnacentral:rRNA from 1 species
UACAGAGGUCCCAAGCGUUGUUCGGAUUCAUUGGGCGUAAAGGGUGCGUAGGUGGCAUGGUAAGUCGGGUGUGAAAUCCCGGGGCUCAACCCCGGAACUGCACUCGAUACUACCGUGCUCGAGUACUGGAGAGGAGACUGGAAAUUACGGUGUAGCAGUGAAAUGCGUAGAUAUCGUAAGGAAGACCGGUGGCGAAAGCUAGUCUCUGGACAGUCACUGACACUGAGGCACGAAGGCCAGGGGAGCAAACGGG